GCGAGGUACCAUCCAGCAAUCCGUGCAUUCGCAUCCUUCAUCCGAUGCAGCCACUGGAGGGCCCGGUGAUCCGUCUCCAGAAAGAAAUGUCGUCCCAGCAGGUACUCAGGCCCCCGGGGAAUCUUUUAGCCUGAACACCCUGCAGAGGAAGAGAGAGGACAUAAUCAGUUCCAGCUGAGAUGCCACCGAAACCACCAUUAAUAAACCAUUUCAAUCA